AUUGAACGCUGGCGGAAUGCUUUACACAUGCAAGUCGAGCGGCAGCACGGGGGCAGCCCUGGUGGCGAGUGGCGAACGGGUGAGUAAUACAUCGGAACGUGCCCGGUCGUGGGGGAUAACGUAGCGAAAGUUACGCUAAUACCGCAUACGAUCAGAGGAUGAAAGCGGGGGACCUUCGGGCCUCGCGCGAUCGGAGCGGCCGAUGUCAGAUUAGGUAGUUGGUGGGGUAAAGGCCUACCAAGCCGACGAUCUGUAGCUGGUCUGAGAGGACGACCAGCCACACUGGGACUGAGACACGGCCCAGACUCCUACGGGAGGCAGCAGUGGGGAAUUUUGGACAAUGGGCGCAAGCCUGAUCCAGCCAUUCCGCGUGCAGGACGAAGGCCUUCGGGUUGUAAACUGCUUUUGUACGGAACGAAAAGGCGCUGGCUAAUACCUGGGGCUCAUGACGGUACCGUAAGAAUAAGCACCGGCUAACUACGUG
rnacentral:rRNA from 1 species